rnacentral:rRNA from 1 species
GAUGAACGCUGGCGGCGUGCCUAAUACAUGCAAGUCGAGCGAACAGACUAGGAGCUUGCUCCUCUGACGUUAGCGGCGGACGGGUGAGUAACACGUGGAUAACCUACCUAUAAGACUGGGAUAACUUCGGGAAACCGGAGCUAAUACCGGAUAAUAUAUUGAACCGCAUGGUUCAAUAGUGAAAGACGGUUUUGCUGUCACUUAUAGAUGGAUCCGCGCCGCAUUAGCUAGUUGGUAAGGUAACGGCUUACCAAGGCAACGAUGCGUAGCCGACCUGAGAGGGUGAUCGGCCACACUGGAACUGAGACACGGUCCAGACUCCUACGGGAGGCAGCAGUAGGGAAUCUUCCGCAAUGGGCGAAAGCUUGACGGAGCAACGCCGCGUGAGUGAUGAAGGUCUUCGGAUCGUAAAACUCUGUUAUUAGGGAAGAACAAAUGUGUAAGUAACUAUGCACGUCUUGACGGUACCUAAUCAGAAAGCCACGGCUAACUACGUG